rnacentral:piRNA from 1 species
UCCUCCAACCACAACAGACGUGCUUUGGCC